UUACUUUGAUUGUCUAAGGUUGCAACCUUAUGCAAACCACACAUUAUACAUAUAUCAAUAUAUAUAUCUAUAUAUGAGUAGAGCUACCAAUAGGUUGUAGUAAUCUAAAAUAAGUAGCAGUUUAGGUUAUGCUUCCAGCCGUCAGAUCUUGAUUGGAUGGUUGAAAAUGCAUGUUACUAUUUGAAUUUAAAUCUUUUUUCUACGAAUCGGAUCAAAAUGAAAAUUUUGAUAUACUCUUUAAGAAAAAGACUUAACCUUUUAUGAAUAUCUAAUAGCCUCCUUUCCUUCAUGCAAGCGACCUAUGUGUACACCAUGGGACACAUUAGACCAUAUUCCAUACCCAGACCCUAGUGCAGCCUUAGAAGAUUCCCUAUAUAUUCUUGAGAUAUUCCAUCAUCCUGAGAUAUCCAAAUAUCCUAAAUUUCCCAUUUUAGGAAAUUGCAACCUGAAAAUAAGCAAGAACUGUGCCAGAAAGAAAAAAAAAAUCGCGAAUUGCAGCCCCAAGGAAGUGUUCGAUUUCGGUUAGACCACCACGAUCAGACUUUGCACAGUCUCCAGUAGUGACCAAAACUGUCUGGGGUUUAAUGCCAGGGGUGCGUCCCUGAGUUCAUUUGGCUCAGUGCCACUCCUUGUGCUACCAAAAUUUUGACGGCCUAGAUUUAAUCUGGAUUGCUACCUUUCUUUUUUGACAAGUUUUUAUCUAAAAAAGAACACAUCUAGUUAUUUUUAGGGGACCUUAGUGACGAAACCCUAACCCGAGCCUCUAAUUCUGAAGAUCCAACCCUAGACUUAGGUCAUUCAAACCCUAGAUCUAGGAAACUGUUCCAGCCAAUGUCAAACAAAUUCAUUCAAAUCAAAAGCCUCAGAAGUAAAUUCCUAGGCACCAAUCUACCUCGGAGUGCAAUCUGACAAGACAGAUAUGCAAUCUCGAAGAUCAAGGAGCAAGACUCAUCAUCAUUGUCUGAUCUAGGCCCAACUUCAGUUGCCGGGCCUGAGGGCCCGACCUCGAGUGUCGUAUUUCAGAUUUACUUAAACCUGAGCCAACUCGGCUGGUGAGAAGAAAGGUCUUUCAAGGCUGAUCUACUCAUAAAUUGUAAAUAGGUGGAACCCACCUCUUCUGAUAUUUUAAAACUUUAAGGUUGGAGACCAUCUUAGAUAGAUCGGACUUUUAAGUAGUACGCUUAAUCUCAGAAUCGUGUGAACAAUUGUUCCUAAAAUGCAUAUUCAAAUUAUUUUUGGAGGGUAGAUUAGUGA